GUGUCAGCAGCCGCGGUAAUACGUAGGGUGCAAGCGUUAAUCGGAAUUACUGGGCGUAAAGCGUGCGCAGGCGGUUAUGCAAGACAGAUGUGAAAUCCCCGGGCUUAACCUGGGAACCGCAUUUGUGACUGCAUAGCUGGAGUACGGCAGAGGGGGAUGGAAUUCCGCGUGUAGCAGUGAAAUGCGUAGAUAUGCGGAGGAACACCGAUGGCGAAGGCAGUCCCCUGGGCCUGUACUGACGCUCAUGCACGAAAGCGUGGGGAGCAAACAGGAUUAGAAACCCUUGUAGUCC
rnacentral:rRNA from 1 species